rnacentral:misc_RNA from 1 species
GAUGAAGAACGUAGCGAAAUGCGAUAAGUAAUGUGAAUUGCAGAAUUCAGUGAAUCAUCGAAUCUUUGAACGCACAUUGCGCCCGCCAGUAUUCUGGCGGGCAUGCCUGUUCGAGCGUCAUUUCAACCAUCAAGCCCCCGGCUUGUGUUGGGGACCUGCGGCUGGCGCAGGCCCUGAAAACCAGUGGCGGGCUCGCUAGUCACUCCGAGCGUAGUAGUUACAUCUCGCUCAGGGCGUGCUGCGGGUUCCGGCCGUUAAAAGCCUUAUUUACCCAAGGUUGACCUCGGAUCAGGUAGGAAGACCCGCUGAACUUAAGCAUAUCAAUAAGCGGAGGA